rnacentral:misc_RNA from 1 species
GAUGAAGAACGCAGCGAAAUGCGAUAAUUAAUGUGAAUUGCAGAAUUCCGUGAAUCAUCGAGUCUUUGAACGCACAUUGCGCCUCAUGGCAUUCCGUGAGGCAUGCCCAUCUCAGCGUUAGAAAAUAUUCUCAAAUUUUAGUUUUGUGCUAAAAUUUGGAUCAUGUCAAGGAAGCUAUUACUAUUAUUGUGAUCGCUCUUUGGAAAUUGAUAGGUCUUUGAGUUGCUACUCAUAGAACGUGAUGAAUCUUUCUUCGUUCUAUUGUAAUUCACUCUGGUAGUCCUAAAACUUGUAUGCCUGUGGCAUAUCUUGUAAUUUGACCUGAGAUUGGGUAGGGAUACCCGCUGAACUUAAGCAUAUCAAUAACGGAGGA